GAGUUUGAUCAUGGCUCAGAGUGAACGCUGGCGGUAGGCCUAACACAUGCAAGUCGAACGGCAGCACAGAGGGCUUGCUCCUUGGGUGGCGAGUGGCGGACGGGUGAGGAAUACAUCGGAAUCUACUCUGGUCGUGGGGGAUAACGUAGGGAAACUUACGCUAAUACCGCAUACGACCUACGGGUGAAAGCAGGGGAUCUUCGGACCUUUGCGCGAUUGAAUGAGCCGAUGUCGGAUUAGCUAGUUGGC
rnacentral:rRNA from 1 species